rnacentral:rRNA from 1 species
UCAGAAGGCAGACCCGGAGAACUGAAACAUCUUAGUACCCGGAGGAAGAGAAAGAAAAAUCGAUUCCCUGAGUAGCGGCGAGCGAAACGGGAAGAGCCCAAACCAAUAAGCUUGCUUAUUGGGGUUGUAGGACACUCUAUACGGAGUUACAAAGGAAUAUAUUAGACGAAUCAUCUGGAAAGUUGAAUCAAAGAAGGUAAUAAUCCUGUAGUUGAAAAUAUAUUCUCUCUUGAGUGGAUCCUGAGUACGACGGAGCACGUGAAAUUCCGUCGGAAUCUGGGAGGACCAUCUCCUAAGGCUAA